AUUGAACGCUGGCGGCAUGCUUUACACAUGCAAGUCGAACGGUAACAGGUUAAGCUGACGAGUGGCGAACGGGUGAGUAAUGCAUCGGAACGUGCCCGAUCGUGGGGGAUAACGCAGCGAAAGCUGCGCUAAUACCGCAUACGAUCUGAGGAUGAAAGCGGGGGACCGUAAGGCCUCGCGCGAUCGGAGCGGCCGAUGUCAGAUUAGGUAGUCGGUGGGGUAAAGGCCCACCAAGCCGACGAUCUGUAGCUGGUCUGAGAGGACGACCAGCCACACUGGGACUGAGACACGGCCCAGACUCCUACGGGAGGCAGCAGUGGGGAAUUUUGGACAAUGGGCGAAAGCCUGAUCCAGCAAUGCCGCGUGCAGGAAGAAGGCCUUCGGGUUGUAAACUGCUUUUGUACGGAGCGAAAAGGUCCUUUCUAAUACCCUUGUGUUUUGAUGGUACUGGAAGAAUAAGCACCGGCUAACUACGUGCCAGCAGCCGCCGUAA
rnacentral:rRNA from 1 species